AAUCAACGCUGGCGGCGUGCCUAACACAUGCAAGUCGAACGCGAAAGUUCCUUCGGGGAUGAGUAGAGUGGCGUCCGGGUGAGUAACGCGUGGGUAAUCUGCCUUUGGGUGGGGAAUAACCCAGGGAAACUUGGGCUAAUACCGCAUAAUGCAGCGGCUCGACAUCGAGACGGUUGUUAAAGCAGCAAUGUGCCUGGAGAGGAGCCUGCGUCUGAUUAGCUAGNGGUAAGGUAAUGGCUUACCAAGGCUGCGAUCAGUAGCUGGUCUGAGAGGACGGCCAGCCACAAUGGCACUGAAACACGGGCCAUACUCCUACGGGAGGCAGCAGUGGGGAAUUUUGCGCAAU
rnacentral:rRNA from 1 species